rnacentral:rRNA from 1 species
GCGCACGGGUGAGUAACAUGUGGGAAUAUGCCUUUUGGUACGGAACAACAGUUGGAAACGACUGCUAAUACCGUAUGGUCCCUUCGGGUAAAGAUUUAUCGCCAAAAGAUUAGCCCGCACUAGAUUAGCUAGUUGGUGAGGUAAUGGCUCACCAAGGCGACGAUCUAUAGCUGUUCUGAGAGGAAGAUCAGCCACACUGGGACUGAGACACGGCCCAGACUCCUAC